UCUUCUUCGUAUUAGGUUGAUUACAGUCAUCACUCUAGUAAUUUUAUGACUCCUAAAAUUGCAAAAAAACUUUUAGUUUCACUCAAGCUCUCUUCCACGAUUUAAACUGAAAGGAUCAAUUUCACUGUAAGUGGUGUGUAGGAUUGUGUUGAGCUAACCAAUCAAAUCCUAACAUGACAGCAUAAUUUGGAAGAUCCAAUUCAUGAAAGUAUUGGAGAAUUGAUGUUCUCCAAUGGAAAAUUCAAAACCAUUGCUGACAGUAGAUACUAACUACCCACCUCGAGCCACCGUUACUAAAACUGAUGGUGCUACAGACAUAAGACAGUUAGCUGGCACAGGAAAAUUCAUGAGCAAUAUGCCACAAAGUUAUUUUCAUCUUGCUUAGGGCUUUAACACUCCACAUUUGUUUUCAAUAUUUUCCUAAAAAACCGAUUCUGACGACAUCCCACACCCAGUCCUGCUUCGGAAAACACCCAUUCCUGACAGUUUACUGGCCUUUCCAACAGCGCAAUCUACAUUAUCUCUUUCAAUAUGAAAAAUAUCCCAAAAAGACAACCAGAUUCGAUCCGGUAGACAGGGGGGUCAUCAAUGUUUCACAAAGUAUGAUCUAGCAGUAUUUUAGAAUGAUAACAGAUGAUAACAGGCCAAAAUUUGCCCCUGUUGUUUGAUAUUGACAUCACAAGAGGAUAAUGGAAAGUACUUGCUCGGGAGUUUCUUCUUUCUGGAGAUCUGUAGUUGCUUCCUGCAGCCUGAAUCAAAAGUUGGAGUUCGCACUUGCCUCUCCUGGAAUGGUCUUCACAGCUCCUCCUAAGGAGCAGCAAAUAAUUGUUAUGCAGGGCUCAACCCUCAACCUUAGAGAGUGACAUGCAAAUACUUUGCAAACUGUAGCGAGUAGAAGUUGAGCAAACUGGCCGUAGCAGCAAAGGUAGUAGCAGCAAGUAGGUGGAAUAUGUGACAUGGUGAACUUGUAUUAGUUGUUCACGCAUGAAUUUCCGUGUGUGCGUGAGAUCAAUCUGUACUGUUGUUAAUAUUUAUCGAUCGUUUGGGGUUGUGGAUUGUAGAAACUUGUACAUUAUCUUACUUUCAGAUUGAUGUUCUGCCUGAAACUGUUUCAGAGGAAAGCUAAAUACAUUUGUAAGAUCAGUACUUCA